AUCACAAUCAACAGAGAGACCAGGGAAGCAGAAAACAGGCCAGAGUGAGUCGACUGCACAAAGUCACACACAACAGCAGGCAGCAACAGAAAAUCGGUGGCAAACAGGCACGCCUGAAUCUCCAGAGCUUCUGAGGGGACAGUACUGCAAAUCCUUCCCCGGAAGUGAAUGUGGCUAUUGCAACUGUCUCAGUAAGAACAUCCAGUAGAUGGUUUUCCUCAUUUUCAUUGGCUUCUUCAGGGAUGGAUGGCUGAAGGCUCUCUGGAUCAGAGUUGCUUCUUACAUACCCAG